UGCCUGUGUGCUGCCAUUUUCACAGAGGGGAUCGCCGACUCGCAGAGAUGGAGCCUGAUCUGCAAGCUCUCCGUGUGCAUCGCCAAGGGGCUCGACCACCUGCACACGGGGAUGGAGAAGCCGAUCAUCCACGGCAACCUCAAGACGAGCAACAUCCUCCUCGACGCCAGCUACGAGUGCAGGAUCUCGGACUACGGCCUCUACCUCCUGCUCAACACCGGCGGCGCCCACGAGAUGCUGGAGGCGUCGGCGGCGCAGGGGUACAAGGCGCCGGAGCUGGUCAAGAUGAGGGACGCCACCAGGGAGAGCGACGUGUACAGCCUGGGCGUGGUGCUGCUGGAGAUGCUCGCGCAGAAGGAGCCCGCCGGCGACGACGACCGCGCGCCCAGCUCCCGCGACAUCUUCCUGCCGGCGUCGUUCAAGAACCUGGUGCUCGAGAGGAAGAUCUCCGACGCCUUCAGCUCCGACCUCGUCAGGCAGAGCAGGAAGUCGGGGAACGAGAAGAAGCUGAACGCGUUCUUCGAGCUGGCCACGGCGUGCUGCAGCCCUUCGCCGUCGCUCCGGCCCAACACCAAGGAGAUACUCAGAAGGCUUGAGGAGAUAGCAAAAUAAUUAACUAAAUGUGGGUAGGUUCACCAUUCAGACGUAGCACGAGGCAAGGCUCAAGGAACGACUGAACCUCUGCUGGACGGAAAAUUGGAGAAUGGAGGCACACGGUUCAGAUAUCAUGGAAUGUGUAUAGUCAGAGUGUAAGCGCGGUGGAGGCCAUCGUCUCAAGAAUAUACUCAUUGUACGUAAUUUAUUUUCUUGUGCUUUGCUUGAAACCGACCAUGUACAAAGUGUUGAAAGAGUGGGGACGGCGUAUGCUGCAUGUUCAUGCAUCAAAAUCGCCAUGUCGAUGUAACCUUGGUCUGAUCUGAGUGUUAUAUCAGAUAUGAUUGGUAGGAGCAUUUGCUGUGCAGCUUGUGAUGUUCCCGGUGCAUGUGCGGUUGUUCUACUUGUACGCACUGACAAGGGCCGGCAGGGAGUGAUUCUCUCCAAGGGAAUUAUGCCCAGCGUUGCCUGAUUUCGGUCUCUGCACAGUCAUGCUGUCCUUAACAGUGGCUAGAUUCCGAAAUAGUAAGAAAUUAAGAUUCGGAACUUUUGGUUGUAGCUAGAUUGCUCAGCGGCAUGGCCUCAAAAACAGGUCACCAUCCACCACCUUCUCUUUCGCCGACACCAAAAGCGUAGCGUCCGUAACACACGGGCCUACAGUCUGCUGAUUUAUUUCGUAACCUGCAAAUGAAUCGCCUAUUCACUAUCCCACGUCAACAAAUGAUCAUCCUGUGCUAGCUUAAGCUUACCAAACGAUCUUCGGCUUGACGCCAGAAAAACUUACUGAUCAUCUCGAGUCUCCUUGUCCCUGAAUUAUCGUAAUGAGACGGAACAUGAAAGGCAUGUGUCAUGGCCUCCGCUGGCCGAGUGAUUAUCAGGUGGGUGAGGCCUUGGUUUGUGCCACCGGUUAGCCGCGGCGUCUCUCUCGCAGCGCAGGGAAAGCGGCAGCACGUGAAGCGCCAACGAACCCACCGAGAAAACUUGGAGCAAGCCUCCAAGCCUCCAAGCCGGGACCGCCUCUCGUCGUCCUCCAACUCCGCGGCCCCCUAAUGGUAGAUCUUGUGGGCACGUACAUACGUCCGUAGGCCGUAGCGUAGAUCAAAUGCCCCUGCGCGCGCUCAGGCCGGCCGGCCGGUCCGGUCCGGUGCACGGACGCCUGCGCUCGCCGUGCCGUAUCAUCAAUUUGCUAAUGCACAUGUCCCUUGGUCACAAAUCUUACGAUGUGUACUGUCGACGCGUUUUUACUGCCUCUGGCCCGUUGCCGACGCCGACGCCGAUGCCAUGGCCGUGCGCCGUGGUCCUCGCCCGUCCAUUCGCGGCUACUACAGUUGUGCGCGCCGUCCGUCGUGUAGCGUCUUGUGGGCAUGCGGCGUGCACCGUGUUUAACUUGGUAAGCUAAGCCGCACACGGCGAAGUGUUCGGGUCGGUGGGAGGCGGGUCACCGUACCUACCUAUGCGUCGACAUGUACCCGGUGUACGUACGUGCCGGGCCGCGACGGCGAUGGCUGGGGAGAGGAGAUGGUGGUGGAUUGGUGGUGGCGGUGGUUGCGCGUGGCUGGCGCGGCGGAGUAGGAGUGGUAGGGCGUCGGGGCGGUACCACGCGGAUUGGGUGCGCGUGCACGGCGCCGAGCGCAGGGGGCUGCGUGGCCGGAUGAUAGAUGCGUCGCACGCAGGCGCAGGCAUGUGGGCGUCAUGUGGUAGGGAGUUGGCUGUGGGUGCUACUACUGGGUGAGAUAAGGCUCUGAUAAGAUGUGAUUUGGCUACUGCCGCUCGCGAUUCGCUGCUGCGCUGUCUACUCAUUGCGAGAGUUGGUGCUUGUCACUGAAUGUGAAUGGUACCGUACCGGAGUUAAAUCAAGUGAAAGCAGCAAGUACCACUGCCGGUGCCGGGGUUUAUUUAUGUUGGGUUGCACUGCGGCGCUGCAAUCAUCGCUCUUCCGUGCGGCUUCAUUCGUUCCUUUGCUGGGGCCGGGGGAAACGGGUUGGCCUUGGCCGUCGCCGGCCGAAUGCAAUAUGGCAUCGCGACCCAAAGCUUUUGCUGCGGUAUUGCCGACUUGCAAGUUAAGUUUUUUUUUUUAAUGAACGAGCAAGCUCGGUUGAGAUCCUUGCCUUUUCAACCUUGAACAGCGGUAUUUGUUUUGAUAGAGUAUUUUUCAUUAAUUCAUAUUGAAACACAAGCAGAUGUACAAAAUACAACGAGCACACAGCCAGCCACUACACGACUAGGAUGCACACAACCAAUACACACACAAAGAUAUUCAUCACAAGAUCAAAACUAUGCCUAGGUCAAAUGGAAAAGAAAGAGAAAAGAAAAGGAGAAAGGACUUCGCCGAAGCAGUAGAAACAACCAUUGAUGUGGCAUGCCCUACUGCAAACAUGACUAGUACACAAGUCAUGGUGAGUACGUCGGUCAAUGACAAGCGGUUGCAGGCAACUUCGGCAGUCGUCGACAAAGGGGUGCGAACGGAGGAUAUUACGAAUGAGGCAGCGACAAUGCAUGUGGACGAGGCGGAUGUCGGAAAGAAAGUUGUUGAUGUGAGUUGUAAUUAUGUAAGGACAUGAGGAUUAUAUUGUAAAAGAACAAAAAUCUAAAUGAAGGGAGGUGAGAAGGGGAUCGGUAGAAGACCCCAGAUUUUUCCCCAAUGUCUCCUCUCCUUCAUGAACCCUAGUUCACAAAUCCAUGAGUGACAAGAUGGUAUCAGGGCGGGACGAAUCCUGUGUGGUUCUCCUGUGAUUUCGAUUGAUUUUGGUCGUCGGUGCGGUGCGGUGCUGUGUCGCUCCUAUUGUUGGAGGUGCUUCUGCUGCUGGCUUUGUUGUAGGUGUCGGGAAGCGACCUCGAUUCUGCCUGAAUCAAGUACAACCGGGGAGGCUCCUGCAGCUACCAGUUGAAUUGAAUAGAGCCUGGGCGUCUAGACUCCCUCCCCCGCUACAAGCUAAUUUUUUCUCUCCUGCCAUCCGGCGCCGUGAGCAGGUCUAGUUCGUCCCCAACUUGACUCUCGGACUCCUUGAGCUUCUGUGUUUUUUAUUGCUUUAGAAGAAGAAUCAGUGUUGCCUGGAGCUGCUUUGGUGGUCAGCUGGCCGGAUUAAAUAAUACUAUUUGCUAGUGUUGCAAUCCGAAGUAAUUGCCGUACUCUUUGGCACAUUGUUGAGCCGUACUAGUUGGUUCCUCUUUGUGCUGCACGUAUUUGAUAAGAAGAACCAAGUACUAGUGUUGGAAUAUAUUCUUGCUCACUGAACCAUGGGAGAUCCAAGUACAGAAAAACAGGGGAUUCUAGUGUUGAUAAGAUGUAUGAAAUAUUUAGCAAACUGCUUAAGCACCAGCAGGCUGCUGAGCCAGUUAAGCAUACACUUGAGCCAAAUCCAGUCAAACUAUCAGGACCUGGUGACUACAUCAGUUGGGCACGCCAUGCCAAAUUGAUUUUGAGCGCCAAUGAGUAUGAUUAUUUACUUGUUGGGAGUGAAGAAAGUUUGGAGAAAGGCGGUGCGGGCAGGAAACAAAUCAAUGAUAAAGUACUAGUAUGGCUGUUGGAAAGUAUGGAACCAAAAAUAAGAGAACAAGUGGAAGGCAUGGACACUGUUUGUGAGGUCCGGUCAUCUUUGAAGAAACAAUUUGCAGGGAAAACAAAUAAAAUGCAAGCCACCCAUAUCAUGCAUGAGUUAACUAAUUUGAAGCAGCGCUCAAGAUCUGUAACAGAGUAUCCAGGUGAAGUAAAAAAAUUAUAUAGAAACUUACAUUAUCAUCACCCUUUUGAACCUGUUGACAAGGAUGACUUGGCAAUUCAUCAUGUGUGGUUUGAGUCGUUUGUGAGCAAGCUCUUUCUUGAUGGCCUAGACCAGGAACUAAACCUCCGUCGUCAAUUGAUAUUUGGAAUGCCUGAGUGGCCUAGUCUUGAUGAUAUUAUUUCUAGCAUGAUUGAGGAGGAGACUCGUUUGGCACAACCGAAGGAGGAUGGUCAGGAGCGUGCAGAUGCUCGUGCUGCAUUAUCCAUACAACCUCGCCGUGCUACAAAUUCCUUUGGUAAGGUGGAUAAAAGCAAAUUGCUUUGUGACCAUUGCAAGAGAAAAGGACACACCAAGGAUGAGUGUUUUGAGUUGCAUGGUUAUCCACCUUGGUGGGAUAAAGGGAGAUCUCAGCUAGGGGGAGCUCGGGGUUCAAACAAAAGACAAGCUAAUUACAAUGCAUCUGCAAGGGAACUACAUGUGGUAGAUAUGCAAGCUCUUGAGGAUUUCAAAUCCAAGCUCAAAUUCUCUGAAGGCUCAUCUUCGUCCCAAGGUUCCUCCAAAGUUGAUUCUAGCUUUAAUGCCAUCACCCAAGGUAUGGAAUCCCACCAAGCCCAGUCAAAACCAUGGAUAAUUGAUACUGGAGCUACUAACCACAUGACAGGUGCCUCAAACUUGUUUACUUCAGGCACCUUCCAGUCCAGGCCAGCCAGGGUCCCGGCGACCCUCCUACUCCUACUCCUACCCCUCCCAACUGCCGCUGCCACUGUGCUCACCGAUUCUCAACGGAGGAAAUGGCCAUGCACAGCACACCACACCGCAGUGCACCUACCUAGGGUCGGUCCUCUACCUACCAACCCCCCCACUUUAACGCUAAUCUCCAACAGAAAAAAGGCCAANNNNNNNNNNNNNNNNNNNNNNNNNNNNNNNNNNNNNNNNNNNNNNNNNNNNNNNNNNNNNNNNNNNNNNNNNNNNNNNNNNNNNNNNNNNNNNNNNNNNCGAUUCUCAACGGAGGAAAUGGCCAUGCACAGCACACCACACCGCAGUGCACCUACCUAGGGUCGGUCCUCUACCUACCAACCCCCCCACUUUAACGCUAAUCUCCAACAGAAAAAAGGCCAAAGGCGACGGAGGCUGGACUCACUGGACUGGAAGCCACCCGGCCGGCCUCCUCCUCCUCCUCCUCAGUAGCCCUCACUCUCCCACACUGCUCACUGGUUGGUCGACGAUGAUAAAAACCUCCACACGAUAGGAAUCUCAAGCCAUCCUCCUCCUCCUCCUCCUCCCGGCAGUUUCCUCCACGGCUCCACCACCCCGAGCCCAAGCCAACCGAGCAAAGCGCACGCCAAAGCGAGGGGCUUUGCCUCGAAUCCUGGGCGAGCCGAGCCACGAGCCCCACCACCACUGCUUUCGCCUUUCCGUUCAUUCCAAGAACCGGCGUACGUACAUGGAGCCGGCGGCGGCGGACGGGGCCUCGGACGAGCCGGUGCACAAGGGGCGGACCAACUCCAUCCUGCUCCCCAUCCUCGCCGUGCUCCUCGCCUACCUGCUCUACCGCUACCUCCGCCCGCGCCUCCGCGGCCUGCGCCUCGACCGCCUCCCGUUCCGCGUCCCGGACUGCCUCCGCCGCCGCGGCAAUGCCACCCGGACCACCCUGCUGCCCUACUUCGCGCCCAUCGCCGACCGCCUCGGCGCGCUGCAGCCCUACCUCGGCCCCAUCGCCGACCGCCUCGGGGUCGGCGGCCCGCACGGCCACGGCGGCGGGUACGGCGGCGCCGACGCGCUCGUCAGGUUCCCCGGCGGCGAGGGCCUGUCGGUGGCCGCCAUCCUCGAGGCGCCUGGGGAGGUGGUGGCCAAGUCGUCGCACAGCACGCUCUACCGCGCCGCCAUGCGCUCCGGGGAGACGGCCGUGCUGCUCCGGUUCGUGCGGCCCGCGUGCGCCGUGGGCGCCGACGAGGCCGCCGCCGCCGCGCGCCGGAUCGGCGCCGUCAGCCACCCGAACCUCGUGCCGCUCCGCGCCGUGUACGUCGGGCCCAGGGGCGAGAAGCUGCUCGUGCACCCUUCUACGCCGCCGGCUCGCUCCACCGAUUCUUGCAAGGUCAGUGCAUGCGCAUCACUCACUCUUGCUUUGGUCGACAUGUUCAUCCUGAUUCGUACAAAUGCACAAUUUUGCUACGUCAAAAGUGCACAUGAGCCCACACCGCAAAUGAAACUUUUUCUUAAUUCUAUUUGUUGCGACGAGAUCACACAUGAAACAUUAUGCAAUUACAUUUCGUCACAAAGGGAAAAGCAUGGCGUGGUUGCGAAGCGAGUUCGAAGACUCCAAAAAGGCAGAUCAGCAGCUUUCACUAAACAAAAAUCAUUUGGGCCAUCAGUUUCAACUUUCUUUUUCGAUAAUCAGUAUCAACUUUUGAGGCAAUGUGGAAUGUGUUACACAGUUUGGUUAUGGUACAGAGUCCAUUUCUUAUUUCCAGUUCAUGUUCGCUGGUUCUUAUUAUUAUUGCCUACUGCGGCCAGGCAGGAAACAUUUCUCUGCUUUGGUUGUUAGCCUGAGACCUCACAUGACACUGUCCUGAAGCAAUGGUCCUGGCCAUUAAUGUUACAUAAGGUCAUUAGAUCACCCUUCACAAUCGUGAUCAUUGGGGCACACAAUCAGUCCAGUGUGUUGCUCAGUUAAAACAGUGGUUAGUGCUGUAUAGUCGUCUGUCAAACAGUAGUGAACAUAGUCAUUGUUGUGCCUUAAUUGAAGGCACAUGCACACAUGUGCAGUCUUUUCAAGCCAAAACCAUGCAUUCAUAAUAUUGGCAUUUGUUGUGAUGGUAGCUGAUGAUAGUCUGCCUGUGUGCUGCCAUUUUCACAGAGGGGAUCGCCGACUCGCAGAGAUGGAGCCUGAUCUGCAAGCUCUCCGUGUGCAUCGCCAAGGGGCUCGACCACCUGCACACGGGGAUGGAGAAGCCGAUCAUCCACGGCAACCUCAAGACGAGCAACAUCCUCCUCGACGCCAGCUACGAGUGCAGGAUCUCGGACUACGGCCUCUACCUCCUGCUCAACACCGGCGGCGCCCACGAGAUGCUGGAGGCGUCGGCGGCGCAGGGGUACAAGGCGCCGGAGCUGGUCAAGAUGAGGGACGCCACCAGGG
rnacentral:lncRNA from 1 species